rnacentral:rRNA from 1 species
GACGAACGCUGGCGGCGUGCCUAAUACAUGCGAGUAGAACGCUGAAGGAGGAGCUUGCUUCUCUGGAUGAGUUGCGAACGGGUGAGUAACGCGUAGGUAACCUGCCUGGUAGCGGGGGAUAACUAUUGGAAACGAUAGCUAAUACCGCAUAAUAGUAGAUGUCGCAUGACAUUUGCUUAAAAGGUGCAAUUGCAUCACUACCAGAUGGACCUGCGUUGUAUUAGCUAGUUGGUGAGGUAACGGCUCACCAAGGCAACGAUACAUAGCCGACCUGAGAGGGGGAUCGGCCACACUGGGACUGAGACACGGCCCAGACUCCUACGGGAGGCAGCAGUAGGGAAUCUUCGGCAAUGGACGGAAGUCUGACCGAGCAACGCCGCGUGAGUGAAGAAGGUUUUCGGAUCGUAAAGCUCUGUUGUAAGAGAAGAACGAGUGUGAGAGUGGAAAGUUCACAAUGUGACGGUAUCUUACCAGAAAGGGACGGCUAACUACGUG